rnacentral:rRNA from 1 species
GAUGAACGCUGGCGGCGUGCUUAACACAUGCAAGUCGAACGGUGAAGCAGAGCUUGCUCUGUGGAUCAGUGGCGAACGGGUGAGUAACACGUGAGCAACCUGCCCUGGACUCUGGGAUAAGCGCUGGAAACGGCGUCUAAUACUGGAUACGAGACGUGGCCGCAUGGUCAACGUUUGGAAAGAUUUUUUGGUUCAGGAUGGGCUCGCGGCCUAUUGGCUUGUUGGUGAGGUAAUGGCUCACCAAGGCGUCGACGGGUAGCCGGCCUGAGAGGGGGAGCGGCCACACUGGGACUGAGACGCGGCCAAGACUCAUACGGGAGGCAGCAGUGGGGAAUAAUGCACAAUGGGCGCGAGCCUGAUGCAGAAGCGCCGCGUGAGGGACGACGGCCUUCGGGUUGUAAACCUCUUUUAGCAGUGAAGAAGCGAAAGUGACGGUACCUGCAGAAAAAGCACCGGCUAACUACGUGCCAGCAGCCGCGGUAACAC